CCAUCGGUGGUUCAGUGGUAGAAUGCUCGCCUGCCACGCGGGUGGCCCGGGUUCGAUUCCCAGCCGAUGCA
rnacentral:tRNA from 1 species